GUACACUCCUACGGGAGGCAGCAGUGGGGAAUAUUGGACAAUGGGCGCAAGCCUGAUCCAGCCAUGCCGCGUGAGUGAUGAAGGCCCUAGGGUUGUAAAGCUCUUUCACCGGUGAAGAUAAUGACGGUAACCGGAGAAGAAGCCCCGGCUAACUUCGUGCCAGCAGCCGCGGUAAUACGAAGGGGGCUAGCGUUGUUCGGAUUUACUGGGCGUAAAGCGCACGUAGGCGGACUAUUAAGUCAGGGGUGAAAUCCCGGGGCUCAACCCCGGAACUGCCUUUGAUACUGGUAGUCUUGAGUUCGAGAGAGGUGAGUGGAAUUCCGAGUGUAGAGGUGAAAUUCGUAGAUAUGCGGAGGAACACCAGUGGCGAAGGCGGCUCACUGGCUCGAUACUGACGCUGAGGUGCGAAAGCGUGGGGAGCAAACAGGAUUAGAAACCCUAGUAGUCCCAUG
rnacentral:rRNA from 1 species